GACGAACGCUGGCGGCGUGCUUAACACAUGCAAGUCGAACGGAAGGGCCCUGCUUUUGUGGGGUGCUCGAGUGGCGAACGGGUGAGUAACACGUGAGUAACCUGCCCUUGACUUUGGGAUAACUUCAGGAAACUGGGGCUAAUACCGGAUAGGAGCUCCUGCUGCAUGGUGGGGGUUGGAAAGUUUCGGCGGUUGGGGAUGGACUCGCGGCUUAUCAGCUUGUUGGUGGGGUAGUGGCUUACCAAGGCUUUGACGGGUAGCCGGCCUGAGAGGGUGACCAGCCACAUUGGGACUGAGAUACGGCCCAGACUCCUACGGGAGGCAGCAGUGGGGAAUAUUGCACAAUGGGCGGAAGCCUGAUGCAGCAACGCCGCGUGCGGGAUGACGGCCUUCGGGUUGUAAACCGCUUUCGCCUGUGACGAAGCGUGAGUGACGGUAAUGGGUAAAGAAGCACCGGCUAACUACGUG
rnacentral:rRNA from 1 species